rnacentral:rRNA from 1 species
CGAACGCUGGCGGCGUGCUUAACACAUGCAAGUCGAACGCGAAAGAAUUCUUCGGAAUUUGAGUAGAGUGGCGCACGGGUGAGUAACGCGUAAAUAAUCUACCCUGGUGUCUGGGAUAACCAGCCGAAAGGCUGACUAAUACCGGCUAUAUGCUUUACUUCAGGGUAAAGCAGGAAAGGUGGGGCUCCUUCGGGACCUAUCGCAUCGGGAUGAGUUUGCGUACCAUUAGCUAGUUGGUGGGGUAACAGCCUACCAAGGCGACGAUGGUUAGCGGGUCUGAGAGGAUGAUCCGUCACACUGGCACUGGAACACGGGCCAGACUCCUACGGGAGGCAGCAGUGAGGAAUAUUGCGCAAUGGGGGCAACCCUGACGCAGCGACGCCGCGUGAGUGAGGAAGGCCUUCGGGUCGUAAAGCUCUGUCAGAAGGGAAGAAAUGUGUAUGGGUUAAUACCCCAUGCAUUUGACGGUACCUUCAAAGGAAGCACCGGCUAACUCC